rnacentral:rRNA from 1 species
GAUGGCGGCCAUAGUUCUGAGGGUACACCUGAACUCGGCCGAACUCAGAAGUUAAGCCUCAGGACGUUCAGGGAGAUGUGCGCUGCGCGAGCGCGUGACAGGCCCUGAAGCUGCCACAU